GUGAGGAUGAGAGGUAGGGGGCAGGGGUGGGUGAGGGCCUUAUUCAUCUCUAUUUCUAUUGCUUAGCACAAAGCUGGACACACGAUUGACCCUCAGAAAGUGUUGCACCAUUGUAGUAGACAGAAUGAAAUAUUUGUAGCUCAGAUAAGCUGCCUGUUCUCCGGAUGACCUUGGUUAAGCUAUAUGCCUCUCUGAGCUCAGUUUCUCCAUCUGCUGAGUGGGCAGGAGAGUGGCAGCCAGCUGUCAGAGGUGGUCUUGUAGAGAAGGGGCAGUGAAUGCAGCUUGUGAACUCUAGAUCCCUAAGCAAUUCUAAGGCAUGGAAAUCUCCAGGGCUGUGUCUGCUGUUCCUUUUCAAAUAGGCCCAGGGAUCCCUUUUUUUCAAAUGGUUAAAAGCACAGUUCUCCGACAAACAUACAUAGUUCUGAAUAAUAACGAGAAUAUACAUAUUCUUCUCCAUGGGAUUCAAGAAAGCUAUUUUCAUUUUGAACGGGAAAAAAUGCUGUCCAUGAACACAUUACCAUCCCUCAAUUAGACUGUGCAGAAAACCCCCGCAGUUUUACACUGAGGACGAAAAUGUCAGCAACGUUAUUUGUGCAUCACAAAGACUUCCUCUUUGUCCCCAGUCCCAACAAUGGAGCUUUCUUCUUCUUCUCCUUCCUUGUCAAACUUUGGAUAGUCGUAUAUCCUAAACAGUGGCUUCUCCAAAAAGAUCUCAGAAUCCAUUAGGAUCCUUUAGAGUUUCUGCGGGCCGCUCUGACGGGAUCAGCUCUGUCCCUGGGCUGGCAGUUGGGGGCUGAACUCAGCCAGGCACCUCUAAGGCCCUGGGUUUCUGAGCUCUCUCCCUGAGCUCAGAGGCUUGCAACUGACACGUUUGGGGACAAGUCCCUGGGUUUCUGAGCUCUCUCCCUGAGCUCAGAGGCUUGCAACUGACACGUUUGGGGACGUAUUCAUUAGAAGAUGCUACAUUCUCAUGGAAAUGCCUGGCAUUGCCAACUGGACGGCAGCCCCCCUGCUGGGGGAAAAGACUCAUUAGCACCUAUUUUCUGACAAUGAAUAUGAAAUCUGUGCAUACUGAGGGUGCACUUAAAGCAAGAGUCUCCCCAGUGAGGACAGCACUCUGGGAGCUUCCAUCCCUGCCUCCCCGGUCCUCAGGCCCCAGGCUUCUUUUUCCUUUUACCCGGCCAGAAAGCUCCCCAUUCACCUUGGGUGAAUCAGCUACCCAGGGCUCACCUUGGGAAGGCAGCCCGCUCUGGCUCCUCAGAGCUCUCUGCCAGGCAUUGCCUCACUCCUGGGGUCUCACACGCAGAGUCAGACGCUGGCUGGAGGUGAAGGCAGGGCCGGAACUGGGGGAUGGAGUGCCUUUUGGAUCCCACACCGAGGGAUUGCAAAGAGAAGCUGUCACGGCGAACUCAACUCCUGUGCCCCCAAAUGAAAAUGUCACCUUGUGUCCUUGUUUCCCUCAGACUCCAACCAUGGAGGACACCAGCAGUGGCAUAUGAAACUUGAUGUUACACGCAGUCGUUUGAGGCUGAGAAGCACCUCACUUUGGGGGAACAGAUGAGGAAGCUGUAGUUUCCUUGCUGUGAGUGGGAGGGCUGGGCUCCGAGAAGGGAGAACGGAGCCAGGAGAACAUAGCUCCAAGACGCUGCGGAAGAGGAGCAGGGAAGAAAUUUCUGGUCCCAAAAUUGAAGUGUUGAGGGAAGGGGUGCUUUCCUAUGUCUAAGGUGAUUUGAAAGGUGGCGUGGCGGAAACGAAGAUCAGAAAGAGGCUAAACCUCUUAUGAGGAAAUAUUUGUAGGUGGAUAGAUAGACCCUGGCCUCAAUCCCGGCUCUGUCUCUUAUGAGGUCCAUGACCUUGUGCCUGAAGCUCAGAACCUCUGAAUACCUCUUUUUCUUAUCUACAAAUUGAGGCCAGUGAUACUGUCCUCUUUGGGCUGCGGUGGGGUUUCAUGACUGAACGUGUGUGGAGCACUUGGCACAGGGCCUCGUAUAUACAAGCCAGGUCAUUAGGGGCUAGAGGGAGACGUGAGUAAAACCAUCAGCCUCGCAGCAUUUGAUUUUACAACACCACAAAUCCUUCGGCACCCUGAAGUGGUCCUGAAGUGUGUGAAGGGGUAGCUGUCCCUCCCCACCAGAAAAGGAGACAGAGGACUGGUCCUGUCACCAACCCCUGCCCAGACCUUGUGGUGGUCGAAGUGUUGGCUAUGCAUUGCUCCAGAAAUUCUGCCUCUUGCAUCUGGAAAGCACUGCAGAGCCUCAGAGAGCUGUACUCUUUGAGACAGUGUUCUAGCUCAUUCUGCCACCCCUUUUGGCCCAGCCUCAGUGGCAGAGUGAGACCCCCAGUUCUAUCUGGUUGGUCAUUUCUUCCCUCCUACCCUUCAACUAGCCCGGGCUGCAGAAGUAUUGUACCAGUUCCACUGGGCCCUGGAUCUUCUGUCACGGGAGAAAGAUAAUAAAUGCAAAGGUGGACUGGACAUUGAGGGCAAUUGGUGACAGGAAGGAUGAAAUCUGGCCUGGUAUUGGGUACAUGAUAAUGAUCCUCUAAAAGAAUGACCCUAAUUACACCUUGAAGUGGAAUGAUUCCUUUAUUUUCUUGGACUGAGUGAUCUGGACUUGGGAAGACCCUGGCUUUCUCGCUACCUGGUCUAUUUCUACCUCUCUUUUCCCACAAUGUUGCUUGUGUCACAUUCCAGAAAUCUUUUUUAGGGUUAAAAUGCUAAUGAAAAUGGACCACGGACCAGCUUGUAACUCAGAGUUCCUCAUAGAUCCGGUCCUUAGGUACAAGCAUGAGGCUGCACCAUGGACUGAGUAACUCUGGAUUCAUCAUAGGAAUGACAGUAGUUACCAUUUUGGCACACACAGGGAGUAUGCAAGAAAUGAUUUUUGAAAAGAAGACAGAAUGAUUAAAGUAAAAGCAUACAGCCUGAUGCCAAGUAGGCAAUCAAGACACAUUAGGAGAAUCUGAAUUCACCAAUUUCCUUAUCUGUGCAAAUGGGAAGAAUAAUGAUCACACCUACUGCAUAAGGUCGCUGUGAGAAUGAAGGGGGACGACUUGCGCAAAGAGCCCGGCAGAGUGCCUGUCAUACACAGAGUAUCAAUAUCUGUUCACUGUUAUCAUCAACUUUGCAGGCUCUGGGGCUUUUAUAAAGUGGUUAGUUCAAGAAUGGGAAGAGAAAGAUGACCCCUGCUGAGGAAGACUCGGCUCUCUGCCCCACAGCAGGCUGGAGUGUUAGAUGUGCGGGGAUCGGAUGGAGAAGCAAGAGGAGGGACACAGAUGACUCAAAGAACAUUUUGGGCUGCUAGUUACUUGGCAAGGCGAUGGGAGUCUAGUUUAGUUCCAAAUGAUGCUCUGUGUUGCAAGAAAGAAGGCAGCUAGAGGGUACAGGGAGCCUAGUCUGACCAACUGCAGGCCUGCUGUCCUUGGAAUCUGGGAGCUUUCGGGAGACAAGUCUGAUUUCCACCUGCAGAUACAGGGUCAGCGCCUUCGUGACUAAUGGCUUCAUUUCUAGACAUAGCUGUUUGCCUUGGGAAGCAGGAGCAGAUGAAGGCAGGGCUAGGCAAAGGGAGCGGCUCCCCAGUCAUAGAUGGAGCAGAUUUUGCAGGACUAGGGUUUUAUGAGAUGAUCAUUGGACUAAACCUGGGAGGUGUUUCAGCCAUCUGGGAGCUCCCUGCCCCUUAAGCCCUGGAGAAGGCAGAUGACGUGAACCUCCAUUCCACGACUGCGAGACUGGAAAUCCUCAAGCCUAGGGUUGACUGGAAUCAGAUUUGGCUAUGCCCAUCAGCUGCUGGGCUGCUCUUCAGGGAAGCUUGGAAAGUUCCAGCGAAAGCCUUGCCUUUGAUCCAGAUGCCUCUGCCACGUCUGCACACGGAUCCUUUGUAGUGGAGACCAAGAUCUUUGUUCUCUAUAAACAACGGAGCGGCACUCUAGUUGGGCCCUUCCCUCUGCUGAGAAUUCCAAGUAGCACUUUAUCAUCCCUGAGUGCACCGUGUUGCUUUAAUGUCUGGCAGAGCAUGAAUUGUAAACACAUCAUUUAGACUUAAAGGCUGACCCGAGAUGGUGGCUGGAGCGUGGGCCCUGAAGAAAAGAGGAGUUUGGCUGAAAAUGAGCUGCUGAAUAAUUUAUCACACGUUGAAAAAGUCAAUACCUUAAGUGAGGUGUGGUGAAGCUCGGGAACUUGGAGGUAAACACUGAGAGGAUGGAAUUUUUGAGAGAACAUUAUCAAAAGGAAUGGCGCUUUGGAAGGAGCGGGAGGCACGGAGACCCUGACCAGGGGCUGGGGUGGAGAUGAGGCAUAAAAGGAGAAACAGAGCAGAGCUUGCCUUCAAGGCCAUUGCAUCUUGACUGGAAGAGGGGUUGGGCUGGAGAGCAGUUGGAAAUGGAUGAGAACAAAGUGAAUGAUGCUAAGUAGGAGUCCCAAGAAAACUUGAACAGUGGGCAGGGGAAAGCUUCCUGGAGGAGGGAGGACCCGGGAAGGGAGGAUUUGAUGAAGGGCGAGGAGCUAAAGGGAAUUCCAUCAGAAAGCCGUUAAGGUGCAGCAGAGGGAAGCUGAAGAGGCUGGUGGCGGCGCAGGUUGAAGAACACCAUGCCGAAGAAUGGAAAUGUGGUCAAGUUUGAAAUGGAGCCCCUGUGGAUUUUUUUGGCAGGAAAUUGACCUUCAUUCAUUUAUUCAUUCAGCAAACAUUCAGCAUAUAAUUGAG
ensembl:lncRNA